GCCGGGUGUGGUGGCGCACGCCUGUAGUCCCAGCUACUCAGGAGGCUGAGGCAGGAGAAUUGCUUGAACCCGGGAGGCAGAGGUUCCUGUGAGCCGAGAUCGUGCCACCGCACUCCAGCCUGGGCAACAGAGCAAGAUUCUGUCUCCA
rfam:Homo sapiens chromosome 14, GRCh38 reference primary assembly.